rnacentral:lncRNA from 1 species
AACACGUGGGGCAUCAUGCGUCUGACUUUGGAUCUUCUAGACAACUGUCAAGCAGAAAUCAAGAGACAGACCCUUGAGAUCUCCUCGAGCAGUGUGCUGAUUUGGGGAUUAGACUUCCAUCAUGGGAUGUAAUCAUGUCUCUCCUAAGCGUGUCAACUUGGUUAAUGUGCAUCAUUAAUUUCCUAACUUCUCAACUGCCUCUAACACUUUCGUUUUGCAUGCAUUUCUUUGUGUAUUUAUAUUUUUCACUUAUCACAAUCUCACACUUUUAC